ACAAGUCAGUCAGGAAGCCCCACUAAAGGCAGAGGGAAACACCCACCAUGACACCUAAGGAACCUGCCCUGCAGGCCCCACCCCCUCUCUUAACCUCUGUUAAGCUCGGCCUACUGUGUUCCUAAUGAUGGGGUGUGGAGGCAGCAUACGAGGGCAGGGGCCUCCGGAGCCCAUGGGUUGCAUGAGGGCCUGGUUUCCAUUCGGGAAGGCUGCAGGAAGGUCACCCCCAGGCCAGGGCAGGGACUGUGGGAAGCUCAGACACCCCCGAGGCCUGAGCCCCGACAGGCUGGGGUGCUGAGAGCAGACGGCAGAAUGUGCUCUAUGUGUCUUUCCGCUGUCACUUCAGGGCACCUGGGGGACCCUCUGUGGGCUGUGUCUGAAAUGGCCCAGGUACAGGGUCUUGUGUCCCACUGUAUCCACUGUAGGCUUCUCGAGGAGUCGCUUGUCUUGAAGUUGAAGUGUGGCCGAGAAGAGAGGCCACUGGACACUGUCCUCUGGGAAAUGAGGCACCUGAAUUGUUGCUGACACCAGUUCCAGGACCGUGAAGGGUGGGGGAGAGGAUGGCAAGGAGCACUUGUCACCUCAUCUGGACCCUGGAAGGAGCAGUCAGAGAUGACCCACCUCACACCCUGACACUCUCAGGAUCUGUUUGUAAUAGAGAUCCUUCCACAGAGCCUGGGGCCAGACAGGUGCUCCAGAACUCAGAAUUCCUUAGAUUUUCGGGAUAAACAGCACAUGUCCUGUGUCAAGGAACACCUAGCAUUGGAUCUGGGGCAACACCUAUGAUUAAAUGUUGCUAUGGGCUGAA